GUGGGGAAUAUUGCACAAUGGGCGAAAGCCUGAUGCAGCAACGCCGCGUGAGGGAUGACGGCCUUCGGGUUGUAAACCUCUUUUAGCAGGGAAGAAGCGUGAGUGACGGUACCUGCAGAAAAAGCACCGGCUAACUACGUGCCAGCAGCCGCGGUAAUACGUAGGGUGCAAGCGUUGUCCGGAAUUAUUGGGCGUAAAGAGCUCGUAGGCGGCUUGUCGCGUCUGCUGUGAAAACCCGGGGCUCAACCCCGGGCCUGCAGUGGGUACGGGCAGGCUAGAGUGCGGUAGGGGAGAUUGGAAUUCCUGGUGUAGCGGUGGAAUGCGCAGAUAUCAGGAGGAACACCGAUGGCGAAGGCAGAUCUCUGGGCCGUAACUGACGCUGAGGAGCGAAAGCAUGGGGAGCGAACAGGAUUAGAUACCCUUGUAGUCC
rnacentral:rRNA from 1 species